rnacentral:rRNA from 1 species
GACGAACGCUGGCGGCGUGCCUAAUACAUGCAAGUUGAGCGCUGAAGGUUGGUACUUGUACCAACUGGAUGAGCAGCGAACGGGUGAGUAACGCGUGGGGAAUCUGCCUUUGAGCGGGGGACAACAUUUGGAAACGAAUGCUAAUACCGCAUAAAAACUUUAAACACAAGUUUUAAGUUUGAAAGAUGCAAUUGCAUCACUCAAAGAUGAUCCCGCGUUGUAUUAGCUAGUUGGUGAGGUAAAGGCCCACCAAGGCGAUGAUACAUAGCCGACCUGAGAGGGGGAUCGGCCACAUUGGGACUGAGACACGGCCCAAACUCCUACGGGAGGCAGCAGUAGGGAAUCUUCGGCAAUGGACGAAAGUCUGACCGGGCAACGCCGCGUGAGUGAAGAAGGUUUUCGGAUCGUAAAACUCUGUUGGUAGAGAAGAACGUUGGUGAGAGUGGAAAGCUCAUCAAGUGACGGUAACUACCCAGAAAGGGACGGCUAACUACGUG